rnacentral:tRNA from 1 species
GCCAAAGUAGCUCAGCUGAGACAGUAUUAGACUGAAGACCUAAGGUCCCUUGUUCGAUCCUGGGUUUUGGCA